ensembl:snoRNA
ACUGCCCAUAGAGGCAUUAUAGGUGUAACUAAUGUGCCACACACUGUGUCAGUAGGUGACUGAGAGGAGAGAGGCUAUGUCUGUGCUCAGUGUGGUGACCUGUGAGCAUUUGAAUGAUUAGUAGCCUGACACU